GUUCUUGCUAAUAAAGGAGCUUUUCCCAUGAUGCAGUGUGAUAAGGAUUGGCCUACAUGUAGCCCAGCAAGCCACUGCUGAUGUUUUCUUGAUUAGGUGUCUUAUCUUCCAUUGAGCUGCAUCUGAUGAAGGUUGCUGACGGCGUAAUGGCAGGGAAAGCGUCGGACAGCUCCAUAAAAUGGCAGCUAUGCUAUGACAUGUCAGCCAGGACCUGGUGGAUGUUUCAGAAUUACAGCAGAACCAUAGAAUCAUCAAGGUUGGAAAAGGCUUCCGAGAUCAUCCAGUAA
ensembl:lncRNA